AGUGAACGCUGGCGGUAGGCCUAACACAUGCAAGUCGAACGGCAGCACAGUAAGAGCUUGCUCUUACGGGUGGCGAGUGGCGGACGGGUGGGGAAUACAUCGGAAUCUACUUUUUCGUGGGGGAUAACGUAGGGAAACUUACGCUAAUACCGCAUACGACCUACGGGUGAAAGCAGGGGAUCUUCGGACCUUGCGCGAUUGAAUGAGCCGAUGUCGGAUUAGCUAGUUGGCGGGGUAAAGGCCCACCAAGGCGACGAUCCGUAGCUGGUCUGAGAGGAUGAUCAGCGACACUGGAACUGAGACACGGUCCAGACUCCUACGGGAGGCAGCAGUGGGGAAUAUUGGACAAUGGGCGCAAGCCUGAUCCAGCCAUACCGCGUGGGUGAAGAAGGCCUUCGGGUUGUAAAGCCCUUUUGUUGGGAAAGAAAAGCAGCAGGUUAAUACCCCGCUGUUCUGACGGUACCCAAAGAAUAAGCGCCGGCUAACUUCGUG
rnacentral:rRNA from 1 species